GUAACUCCUUCCUUAUGUGGGGAGCAGAAGCCCAACAAAUUUAUGCUUCCUCUCUUUCCACAUGUCUGGAAUGUCCAGUGCAACUUUUAAAAUAUAAGUGCACCAAAAUAUCGGGAACGGCCUUUGAAAGUUCUCCAUUUUAAACAUCUGUGGUUAUCCGUCAUGUGACAAAAGCACACUGUGAAAUGGAGGGCUGCCUAUGUGUAUGUGGUUAUUGUUAAUGCAUGCUGCACCAAGGGCUGUAAUUUGUGAUUACAAGGAAGGAAAGGGCUGAGCUGAAUGAGCAAGAUCCCUUGGUAGGCAGGCGUUCACCCCAGCUGGUCAUAACAAGAAAACUUGGUUUCCUGAUUUAAAAUCCCCAGUGAAGCUAUUGUCCAAAGUACAUUUUACAAAUGCAGGCAUCUGAUCUGCUACAAACAAAUAGAGCCACUCUUUCUUCUCUGCUAUGGGAUAUACUUACUACUUCCCUGUGUGUAUAAGAUAUAAACACCUGCCCAAUUCUGAGUGCAUUAGGCUUCAUUGGAAAAUACCUUAUAAAUUCAUUAAAUGCUUCUAUGGUGACCCUCCUGCCACGUUUGUGUCAAUUGCAGUUCAGUGGCAGAAGAGAUGCUUUGAAACCAUCAUGCUUCAGGUCCUGUGCUUGGCAUCUGGUUAAAGGAUCUUCCAGAGAGCAGGACCACUGCACCAAGGCCUUUGGGCAGCUGCUGCCAGUCAGUGCAGAGGCCAUUACUAGGCCAGAGGGACCAAUGGUCCACCUUGGUUUAAGAGAGUUUCCUAUGCCAGAUACCAGCCUGGUCUUCCUUGUACAGAACAGCAAGACGUAGUUACCUAAGAAUUGUCAUGCUGCUCACAGCAAGCAUUCAGCUUGUUAAGCAUUCAAAUUCUAAUAUCAGCCAGCCAGCUGCCAUGGGUGCUCACAGACAGAGCGUGAAGAUGGAAACCUUGCUGGUACUUAGUGAUGCUCUGCAUCAGAACAGAGGAAGUUCUUGGAAGACCUCUGAAUGUAUUCAACAGCAAAUAAAUAUGUUGCAAAAGACUUUGACAUAUUCCCCCCACCUGAAACUUUGAAGAUGUCAUUUUAGAUCAGACUCCCUAAACAAGGAAGUCUAAUAGAGUCAGCACAGACACCAUAUCACUUGAGCCCUAUAAAGUUAUUACCCAUGACAGAUUUCAGUACUGGUGGUGUUCAUAAUUUGGAGUGAGACAUGGAGCCAUUCCUGAACCAGUUUUCCCUACAGAAAAAAUCAGCAACCACCAUAUUGUAUUCUACUGUACACAGAAACAUGAUCUGUUGACCUUACAGGAGUUUUCUAAAAUUCACAAAAGAACAUCUGACUUUUCCAUUGUGGCUACUUAAUACUCAAGAUAUAUCACUUAGUAAAUCCAACCACAGAUAACACCAGCUGGCCUAUAGCAUCUUGGGAAUCUGGUUCUUGAUCAAGUCCCUUUUGCUCAAAGUGUAGGGUUGGGAUUAAGGGAGAGAGAAAAUUGCUUCCCCAUAUGCUGCAUUGACCAUACACAGUCCCAGUGUAAGAAUUAAACUCAACAAACGCUCUAUAGGCAUUUCAGCUAAAUACAGACAGUAGUACCACCUCCACUCUCUACUGUCUCAGUCUUUACCACCUAAAACCCAAAGCCAUGUAUUACGGAUUUAGAGCAAAGCAGGAGUGCAAAAGCCUGUGUGGUGUAUCUGCUGCUGAGCUUAGAGUAUUCUAGACUGCUGGUAGGGACUGGAUGUUUGAACGCUUCUUUGCAUAAAAACUUUCCCUGCAUAUACAAAAUGAGUCCGUCCAGGAGAUGGUUCAAGGGUAUUCUUCAGGGCAGACUAUGAAUGGAAAUAAAGAAAUAUUGACAUCCCUUCUACCCAGAAUAGCCAGCACGCUCUUGAUCAGUGCACAUGAUAUUGAUGCUAAUGAUACGAGGGAAAGAGAAGGAUGUUUGCCAUGCUAGGAGUGGUGGCCUGAUUCAAAAGGUACUUCAGUAAAACUUUCUAGAUGGCAUAAGCAAGUGAACCAGUAUCAGGGUGCAAUCCAGCCAGAGUUAAACACGGUUAAACCCCAUGUAUGUCAAUGGGGAAAUUGUGCAGGUACUUAAGUCUCUCCUAUUGACAUCAGUGGGACUGACAUGUACUUAACUUUGGCUGCAUCAUUUUGUAGACCUUUUCUCUCCUGCUUCUUUGCAUUCAGAAAAGUAAAGGCUGUCCAUAUUUCCUUAUAAUCUGAGUAAUGCAUACAACCCUUUUUGUCCGAGUUAUAGAACAAGUUUCUCUUACACUUUGAAAUCUUGUGGCAACUAAGUGGCUUGCUUGUUUAUUUUAUCUAGAGAGAAACCUCAUUGAUGUUUCUGUUAAGGUUAAAUCUUUAUGGCACCAAUUCUAAGUAUCAGGAUUCAAGCAGCUGAAAUGUAUUCCCUUUCUUUGUUUUGUCUUAGGAUGCAUACCUAUGCAACAGAGUGAUUUCAUCCUUCACCUCCCAGGUUUUUUAAAAAUAAUCUAGUUUUAAAAGUUUUCUGGAAAUGGACAGUGUGAAAGCGUAUGUUUACCAGCUCUAUUUAUGUCAUUUAUGUCAUGGACACUAGCCAAUAUGUGCCCACAACAGCCGUACAUUUAUAUGUGGUGAAUGUGCAUUUAUCAUUUAUCCUUUUUCUGCUGGGAGGAGAAACAAAUCUUUCCCCCCUGGCAAAACAUGUUGAAAGCCAGUUUGGCCAGAGCCUACAAUAACAGUGGGGUGGGAGGGAUGUACAUUUGUCUUGUGGGCUGUGAUGAAUGUAUCUGUCUCCAGCUCUCAGAAAAUGCUAGAUUUAGUCACAGCCACACACAAGUUUUGUUUUGGGUUUUAUUUUAAUUUUUCCCUAAUAGAAAACAUCUCCAAAUGUUGGUAGGAGAUCACUGCUGGAUAGACAGUGACACCAAAAUGAAACUGCAUGAAACUGCUUUGCAUGUUUUCAACUGAAUGCUGUUUUUAUGCUUCCCUUCCAAAGGUUUGCCUCUAUGUUAAUACACAUUCCAAAGUCCUAGGCUUCUAUGUCUAAAAUGCUAUUUUGUAAAAACAAUCUGGCUCCAUAGCUCAUUAACCAUAACUUACUUCAGCUAAAUGCAAAAGCUAAUCUGUGAACGAAGCAUGGCAAUGGCAAAUAAGGUAAUUUCCCCCCCUCCUGUUUUGAACACUGUGGUUUCUAAAACAAGAUCAGCUCUAUAGAAAGACCUCAAUCUAUGCAUUGGUCCAUUGUGCCUGCAGAGUUGAGAUGUCAGAAACAGAGUCCAUCAAAUAUGUUAUUAAAACAAGAA